GACGAACGCUGGCGGCGUGCUUAACACAUGCAAGUCGAACGGAAAGGCCCUGCUUUUGUGGGGUGCUCGAGUUGCGAACUGGUGAGUAACACUUGAGUAACCUGCCCUUGCCUUUGGGAUAACUUCAUGAAACUUGGGCUAAUACCGGAUAGGAGCUCCUGCUGCAUGGUGGGGGUUGGAAAGUUUCGGUGGUUGGGGAUGGACUCGCGGCUUAUCAGCUUGUUGGUGGGGUAGUGGCUUACCAAGGCUUUGACGGGUAGCCGGCCUGAGAGGGUGACCGGCCAAAUUGGGACUGAGAUACGGCACAGACUACUACGGGAGGCAGCAGUGGGGAAGAUUACACAAUGGGAGGGAGCAUGAUGCAGCAAAGCAGCGUGCGGGAUGACGGGAUUGGGGUUGUAAACCGAUUUCGCCUGUGACGAAGCGUGAGUGACGGUAAUGGGUAAAGAAGCACCGGCUAACUACGUG
rnacentral:rRNA from 1 species